GACGAACCGAGCGAACGUUGUUCGGAAUCACUGGGCUUAAAGGGCGCGUAGGCGGGCGGUCAAGUCAGGGGUGAAAGCCUCCAGCUCAACUGGAGAAGUGCCUCUGAUACUGAUCGUCUCGAGGGGGAUAGGGGCGUGCGGAACUUCCGGUGGAGCGGUGAAAUGCGUAGAUAUCGGAAGGAACACCGGUGGCGAAAGCGGCGCGCUGGAUCCCUUCUGACGCUGAGGCGCGAAAGCCAGGGGAGCGAACGGG
rnacentral:rRNA from 1 species